rnacentral:lncRNA from 1 species
UUUCCGCGGGCGCUGAGCACUAGAGAGAGCGUCUUGUGGCUGCGGCCUGCCCCUCAGCCUCCUCCGCGCGGUUACCCCUGUACCCGCCGCCAUCCGUCCUGGCGCUCCGGAUGAGUCAAUGAGGGGCAGGGCCCGAGGAGUGGUCUUCCCAAGAACCCCUGGUGGCCUCCCAAGGCCGGUGCUGUGUACCUCCUCCCCGACAAAAGGGGAAACUGAGGCCCCGAGGGGAGUGGGAAGAGCCGGCUGGACGUCAGGCCCAGCCGCUGGUGCAGUGGCCUCGUGGGCUGUGCGGCUAUCCUGGAGACAGAUGACAGCUCUCCCUUGGAUGGCUUUGCUGGUUCCGCACCAGCCAGCGCCCCCAUUUUUCCUGCAGCACCCUGAUCUGCACUCCCUGAGGGGCUCCCACUGUCCGCGGUGUGAGGAUGUCCCUGGAUAGUCCACUGUGUGCAGAGGCAUGGGAGUUGUCAUGUUGGGAACAUGCUAGACCUCAGUAUCCUUGAGCUUGAAGAAAGACGACAGAACACUGGAGACCAAGUACUUACAGCCUUCUGCUCUGUGGCCCCUCCUCACUCCAGGGAUGCUGCCUUGGGUCUGGAAACUGUUAGAGGAAACCCCAAGAGGUGCAGGCACUGAGCCUCUCAGGACAAUGACCUGGGGUCCCAGCUCCCCUGGAGGGGCCUCCUCAUGAUUGUUUGGGGGUUGAUCACAGACCAAGAGUGACGAGUGAUGUCACCCUGUGACUCAUGGCUGGACCUUCUUGCCCCUAUUGUCUCAGCACAACAUUAUUCGACUUUUCCCUCAGCGUGGGUGGGCAGAGGAAAAGCCCUGUGGCUCUGGGGACUUGGGAUCCAGAGUUGAAGACCCUUCAGCUGGCUCUGCCCUGCCAGUGCCACAGAGUGCCAUGGCCCAGGAAGACAGGUUUUCUUCCAUCUAGGCCAGGCCAUCCAGUGGCCAUCCUCCGUGUCCUCCCGCCUCCUCCUGGUGUGACUUCUGAAAACCAAGAAUUUGUUCCUGUUGACUUUUUCUGUGCUAUGGACCAUUGUCCUCUCACCCACUCAAUAAAUCUUGAAACAUGC